ensembl:lncRNA
CCCCCCCCCCCCCCCCCCCCCCCCCCCCCCCCCCCCCCCCCCCCCCCCCCCCCCCCCCCCCCCCCCCCCCCCCCCCCCCCCCCCCCCCCCCCUUUUUUUUUUUUUUUUUUUUUUUAUCCUCUCCACCAGCUCGUCUGUGGAAAAGAAUGGGGAGAGGGGAGGGGGGCUGGGGCUUUGCUGGGUGAGCACCACAUGGAUUUUCCACUCUGGGUUUGCCAUCUCCAGGCUGGGAACACCUGGGCUGCGACACCCCCAGAGAGAGAUUCCAGCUGGAUUCAGUGCCCAGAGGUGUCGGGAAUUUCGGGCACCUCAACAUCAAACAGGUCUAAAGCUCCUGGGGAGUGUCCAGAGGAGGGGCGGGAGGAUGGGGAAGGCUCUGGUUUGGACAGUGCUCCCAGGGUGUCUGUGCAGGGCCAGGGUUUGGACAAUGAUCCCUGCGGGUCCUUCCAGCGCAGGAGAUUCCAGCUUGGAUCAAUAAAUGCACCCUCCCCUUCCCCAGCGCAGGGAACCUGAGCCCCAGGAGCUGUCCCGGGGUGAGCUGGAGCCCCAGCAGGGAUGGGGGAGCACGGCAAGCCCUGCCCACGCUGCCCCUGCAUCCCAAACUCUGCCCCUGCACCCCAAACUCUGUCCCAGCAUCCCCAAACUCUAUCCCUGCACCCCCAAACUCUGCCAGGAGGGCAGGAAUGGCCGGGGGGGGACUGCAGGAAGCCUGCUCUGCUCUGGGGCUGCUGCUGAGCUGACUGUGUUCCUCCUGCCCCCAGACCCAGGAGUGAGAGCAUUUGGAGUUUUAUUUUCAGCCCAGCUCGUGCACAGCCCCUGCCUGGUGUGGGUUUUGUCACCAUGGCCCCAAACCCCUCCACUUCCAGCCCAUCUUCCACACAGGAUUUCUGCACAGCCCUCACUUCCCUGUCUGUCCCCUGUCUGUCCCUCCAUUCCCUGUGUCCUGUCCCUCCAUCCCUUGGGAAUUGUCUCUCUCCAUGUUUCCUGCAGCUCCUUCAGGCCCUGCAAGGCCACCCUGAGCUCAGCCCAAAGCUUCUCCUCUCUGGGCAAGAAGUUGACUUGCCCU